AGUGAACGCUGGCGGUAGGCCUAACACAUGCAAGUCGAACGGCAGCACAGUAAGAGCUUGCUCUUACGGGUGGCGAGUGGCGGACGGGUGAGGAAUACAUCGGAAUCUACUUUUUCGUGGGGGAUAACGUAGGGAAACUUACGCUAAUACCGCAUACGACCUACGGGUGAAAGCAGGGGAUCUUCGGACCUUGCGCGAUUGAAUGAGCCGAUGUCGGAUUAGCUAGUUGGCGGGGUAAAGGCCCACCAAGGCGACGAUCCGUAGCUGGUCUGAGAGGAUGAUCAGCCACACUGGAACGGAGCCACGGUCCAGACUCCUACGGGAGGCAGCAGUGGGGAAUAUUGGACAAUGGGGGCAAGCCUGAUCCAGCCAUACCGCGUAGGUGAAGAAGGCCUUCGGGUUGUAAAGCCCUUUUGUUGGGAAAGAAAAGCAGCAGGUUAAUACCCCGCUGUUCUGACGGUACCCAAAGAAUAAGCACCGGCUAACUUCGUG
rnacentral:rRNA from 1 species